CAGCCGCCGCGGGAAUACAGAGGGUGCAAGCGUUAAUCGGAAUUACUGGGCGUAAAGCGCGCGUAGGUGGUUUGUUAAGUUGGAUGUGAAAUCCCCGGGCUCAACCUGGGAACUGCAUCCAAAACUGGCAAGCUAGAGUAUGGUAGAGGGUGGUGGAAUUUCCUGUGUAGCGGUGAAAUGCGUAGAUAUAGGAAGGAACACCAGUGGCGAAGGCGACCACCUGGACUGAUACUGACACUGAGGUGCGAAAGCGUGGGGAGCAAACAGGAUUAGAGACCCCCGUAGUCCCUGUCUCUUAUAC
rnacentral:rRNA from 1 species